GCCGGAGUGGUGAAACUGGUAGACGCAGCGGACUCAAAAUCCGCCGGGGGCAACCCCGUGUCGGUUCGAUUCCGACCUCCGGCA
rnacentral:tRNA from 1 species